rnacentral:rRNA from 1 species
GUGGGGAAUCUUGCGCAAUGGGCGAAAGCCUGACGCAGCGACGCCGCGUGAGGGAUGAAGGCCUUCGGGUUGUAAACCUCUUUCAGCAGGGACGAAGCGAAAGUGACGGUACCUGCAGAAGAAGCACCGGCCAACUACGUGCCAGCAGCCGCGGUAAUACGUAGGGUGCAAGCGUUGUCCGGAAUUAUUGGGCGUAAAGAGCUCGUAGGUGGUCUGUCGCGUCGGCUGUGAAAACUCGGGGCUCAACCCCGAGCCUGCAGUCGAUACGGGCAGACUUGAGUGCGGUAGGGGAGACUGGAAUUCCUGGUGUAGCGGUGAAAUGCGCAGAUAUCAGGAGGAACACCGGCGGCGAAGGCGGGUCUCUGGGCCGUAACUGACACUGAGGAGCGAAAGCGUGGGGAGCGAAC